CACGUAGGGGGCAAGCGUUGUCCGGAAUCAUUGGGCGUAAAGAGCUCGUAGGCGGCUCAGUAAGUCGGGUGUGAAACCCUCAGGCUCAACCUGGGGACGCCACCCGAUACUGCUGUGGCUAGAGUCCAGUAGGGGAGUGUGGAAUUCCCGGUGUAGCGGUGAAAUGCGUAGAGAUUGGAAAGAACACCGAUGGCGAAGGCACUUUACUGGGCUAUUACUAACACUGAGAGACGAAAGCUAGGGUAGCAAAUGGG
rnacentral:rRNA from 1 species